GUGUCAAACGCUCUCUGGGUCGAUUUUAAUGGCGGUUAACAAAUCGGGUAAAAGUUAAAAUGUGAUAAGCAACGUGAAAUAACAAAUCACCAAAACCCGCUGUAUCCUCCUUGUGUCUAAAUUGUGGCAAAGUGUAGAAAAAAAUACAUUUCAAUGUUGAAGCAAUUACAAAUGGGACUACGAGCAUUCAUGCUUCUAGCAUCGAGAGUUUGGACAUGUUUGUGUUUUAUGAUAAAAAAGCAAACUAGAGCGAUAAUUCAGCAUCAAUCGGUCAAAUAUGAUUUGUUCCCCUUAUCACCGCUAUCGAGGCAUAGGCUUAGUAUAGUAAAACGGAAAGUGCUCGUCCUCGACUUGGACGAGACUUUGAUCCACUCGCACCACGAUGGGGUGGUGCGCCAAACCGUGAGACCGGGGACUCCCCCGGAUUUCGUACUUAAAGUGGUCAUAGACAGGCAUCCCGUGCGAUUUUUUGUCCAUAAAAGACCACAUGUAGAUUUCUUCCUAGAUAUAGUUUCCCAGUGGUACGAAUUGGUCGUUUUCACGGCCAGUAUGGAGAUUUACGGCGCUGCCGUAGCUGAUAAGUUGGACGCAGGUCGGGGAAUCCUCCAGAGGAGGUUUUACAGGCAGCACUGCACCCCCGAUCUCGGCUCGUACACCAAAGAUUUGGGUGCGAUCUGCAACGAUCUCUCCAGUGUUUUUAUUUUGGAUAACAGUCCGGGGGCCUACCGCGCCUACCCUGGGCCGCAAUUAACUGAUCACGUGACCAAAUUGAACCAAUUUGAGUGGUCUAUUCACUUUUAACAGCGCAAUAAAUUUUAAUCGAGCUUUUUAUAAGCCGGUUUAUAAGGUGUUACUUUUCUAAUGUUGCCCAGUGUUUUGAUGAACGUUGCCCUGUCGGUAGUGUGGAGUAUGUUUGAGGGUAAAAAUUUUGGUGAUUUUCGUCGUGUCCCGAACUGAGAGAUCCCACCGACGUGGCGUUGCUCAAUCUGCUUCCGGUUUUGGACGCAUUGAGGUUCACAGCGGACGUCCGAUCCGUCUUGUCGCGGAAUCUCCACUUGCACCGGCUUUGGUAGAGGAGGUUUCUCGUGCUCAAACUGGACAAUAGUGGUGUCUGUCACCCACACUUAUCUUCCACACUCCUACCAACACCGGAAGUAACCACCCAAACAGAACUGUUAUUACUUUUAAUUGUUUCGUUUGAAUUCAGUUAUUUAUUUUAUUGUUUGUGUAGUCUAUUGAGUUCUAUCAUUCCAUGAUUAGCGGAAUUAUUAUUUAGACCAAAGACCCCGAAAUUGUUUGGCUUAUUGUACAGCAUUUUGUUCAGCUCAUUGUACAUAAAUAGCGUAAGUUUUCCAAGACUCUGAUCUUAUUUUCUGCAUCAGAAAAUAAUUAUACGAAACAAUAAUUUUGUGUUCAAAAUUAUUGGGACUAGAUUAGAUAAUAAUGUAUAUAGGUAGUUCAGCUUGGCUAAAAUUAGGCAAAGCUUCGAUUUUUGGCACCAAUUAUUGUCAUAUCAUAAACUCGGUGCCUGAGUUGAACACCACAUUUCGUGGCCAAUUUUUAUUUACAGUUGAACUGUACUUAAGCGCCCUCACGCGGCCAAUUUUUUUAAGUAAGCUUUGCCAACUCCGUUGGGAGCUUGCCAACAGUUUUGGUUUGUAAAUAAUUGUAAAUUGUGACGCUGUCUUAAUGUUAUUGUUGAAACUACUAGAUAAGGUGCUACUUCACACUUUUGUGAAUAGUCAAAUAGGGUGUGCUGUCUUUAGAAAAAAUUGUUUUUUUUUGCCUGGUAGGUUGUACUUACGGCAAGUUUUGGAAUAGUUAAUUGUUAGUUUCUAGGUACAAAUCCUAACCUUUGUAAAUACAUGUUUUAGCGUUUAAACUGUACAGUAACUCUAUACAAACUUGGAACAAAGUACCUAAUAAAUGACCUUUUACAGUGAAAUAAAACUAUUUAAGUAGAA